rnacentral:rRNA from 1 species
AGCGAACGCUGGCGGCAGGCCUAACACAUGCAAGUCGAACGGACCCUUCGGGGUUAGUGGCGGACGGGUGAGUAACACGUGGGAACGUGCCUUUAGGUUCGGAAUAGCUCCUGGAAACGGGUGGUAAUGCCGAAUGUGCCCUUCGGGGGAAAGAUUUAUCGCCUUUAGAGCGGCCCGCGUCUGAUUAGCUAGUUGGUGAGGUAACGGCUCACCAAGGCGACGAUCAGUAGCUGGUCUGAGAGGAUGACCGGCCACACUGGGACUGAGACACGGCCCAGACUCCUACGGGAGGCAGCAGUGGGGAAUCUUGCGCAAUGGGCGAAAGCCUGACGCAGCCAUGCCGCGUGAAUGAUGAAGGUCUUAGGAUUGUAAAAUUCUUUCACCGGGGACGAUAAUGACGGUACCCGGAGAAGAAGCCCCGGCUAACUUCGUG